UUGUGUGCGGACAUAUUUGCAAGCAAAGAAUGUCACCCAUCUUCUGCAGAAGGUGCUGAAUGUGACGUGCCUUGCCAGUGAUCUUGGAGCCUGCUCCCCAUUGUGCGACGCUCAUAUCAGAUCAGGAGUGUAUUCUUAGUGACAGCCCUCCACCUCAGCAGGCUCUCCCGCUGGCCCCUAUUGAGAAUGUGCAAGAGACUCAGCAAACCCCAACAGCACAA